rnacentral:misc_RNA from 1 species
AUGCGAUACGUAAUGUGAAUUGCAGAAUUCAGUGAAUCAUCGAAUCUUUGAACGCAUAUUGCGCUCUUUGGUAUUCCGAAGAGCAUGCUUGUUUGAGUAUCAGUAAACACCUCAACCAGAUUUUUUUUCUGGAUGGACUUGAGCAAACCCAACAUUGGUCUCUUUCGAGAGGUCGGCGGCGGGUUGCUUGAAAUGCAGGUGCAGCUGUGACAAGAACAGACUGAGCUAAAAGCAUAUCUAAUUUAGUCCGCCUGGCGGAUUAUCUCUAUUUGCUGCAGUUCAACUAAAAGUCGUCUUGGCGAGCUGACUGAUGCAGGAUUUGUCAGACUUUCCUCUCUAAGAGAGGACUUUUCUUUCAAAACUCGAUCUCAAAUCAAGUAAGACUACCCGCUGAACUUAA